CGCGCUCCCACCCUGCACGACGCGGCCCCGCACGUGAAGGGGAAGCAGCGAAGCCGGCGGCGCGGGUCGGCCCAGGUCGCGGUGGCGGGGCCGCGGCUGCGGGCUGCUGGGCGCGCAGAGGGCGCAUUGUGCGGGAGCCCUGAAUGGAGCCGGGCUGUGUGCGGGGCGGGCUCAGCCGGAUUAGCCUGCUUUCCCAUGAACUACAAAAGAAUGCUCGAAUCUGGGGCAUUUGUCAUCAAGGGGCAGGCUGCGCAGGAUGCAAGGACUACUCAAAAAUAGCUAAAUUAUGGAACCGGUACAGACAUCCAUCUACGGAGGACAGAGUCCAACAUUUGUUUCUCCAAGUACAGUGAGUUACAGAGCUAGCACAUAAUGUACCAAUAAUGAAAAUAACUCUGCGAACAGCAUGGAAGUAAGUUGGGGCUACUCCCGCCCACUCAGAGAUGGAUUUUAUGUGCAGAAGCCCAGUGGAAUAUAAAUGAACCUGCUGCAUCUGACAAAUGAGAGCUGAGAGGCAGAGGCUCCCCGAAAGAGGAAACAGGACACUUUCUUACCUCCCUGUCUGCACAGCGAGGCAUGGAUGACAGCGGGCCCUCCUUGUGGGACCGAUUGUAAUAAAUGCCGUGAUCAGUGUGAAUGAAUGCCUGCUGCUGGAAACACUCAGUCUAACAGCCUCUAGUUCUCAUCAUAAACUCCUGAUGUGCCCCUGCGUGUCCUUAUUCAGGGCACGAUUCACUGGUGGCAGGUGUUUGUUUGUGUUCAUAAAUGUCAGCUCCUUAACAUUCGCUUUGGAGAUGGAAGAGUGACAGACAAGAGUCCUGUUCUUGCUGAACCCAAGACCCUUCCAUAGAGCACGGAAGGGCCAGGCACACACACACACACAGCCACAGCCCCUUCCCCUUGUUGGUUAGGGACGAUUCAGCACCGGCAGACACACUCCAGAUGUCUUGCUACCAUCUGGCUGAUGUAGGUUCACAGGAGUGCCCAGCCUCCAGGGACAUGCAAGGAGACAGGAAGCCCAAGGCUUCCAAAUGGUACGCUGGGGGUUUCCAGAGUGCUCUAACUCUCUAAUUGAGCAGCAGGGGUGCCCUGUUUUUCGUGCUGUUUCCUUCCCUGCCCGUUCCUCUUUUCCUGGUUUGCUUUCUCAAGGCUCACUUAAUCACAUGUCCCUCUUGGGUCAACUGAGUGUGUGCUCACCCGGCUUGCCUAGGCGCUGUCCAAGGUAUUGAGGUUGGCUGCUACAAAUUGCCAUUCACUGCCAGAGGGCAUGCUGCAUUUCUGCAUCUGUGAACUCUCCUUACACAGGGAAAGUGUGGUGGUGGGUAAAAAAUAAAGCGAUGCCAUAGCCUCGCAACCCGAGCUCAGGGGGGCUGAGGAGGAGAGUCGCAAAUUCAAGAUCCUCCUGGGCUAAAUAAAGGUAGACGUUGUUCAACUUCAGCCUGGACAGCUGAGCGAGAUCCUGUCUCCAGAAGAGGCCUGGAGCAGUAGUUCAAGUCUAGUGGCAGAGCGCUUGCCUAGGGCGCAUGGGCCCUCCGUUAAAUCCGCAGCUCUGUCCCCACACACGGUGUAUUAAGGGGCAGUGUUGAGCUCUUUAUGACUUCUCGUGAAGCUGCUCUCCCCACAGGCAUUUAAAACUUAAAAAAAAAAAAAAUGCAUUAAACUGAAGUGUUUUCAGAGACAGGAAAAUCCUUCUUAGAAAUCAAUAAUUAUUGAUUAAUGGCUUGCCGUGUCACAAGUCUAGGGAGGGACUUGGGUUAUGUAUGGGCAUCGGAUUUCCAGGAAAUUUAUAAUCUGUCUUGUGAAGGAGACUCCAUGUUCACCACACGUAAAACAACCCAAGUCACAUGCAGGAAAACGACAAAUACUUUCUUUUUAAGAUUGGUAUACUCAAUCACAGCCUUGCUUAAAAUAAAAGCACAUCCUUUCUCCCUUUUUGUGGUAAAUAUACACAUAAAAUUUGCCACAAAUCCUUACUAUCCUGAAUGUAUGAUGUGUGUGUGUGUGUGUGUGUUUUAAUUCUGAGCAUGAUUUAAAAUCUAUCUCCCAUGUGACCCUGGACCUAUUUUUCUAUUUCCUAGCGAUACUCAUUUCAGUGUAUGCCAUAACCACCCUCCCAUCACCUUCCUUCCUGCAAACUCCCCCAGGUGACAUUUGCAUUGAGUGAACUGAUUUUUGUCUUCAAAAAAGGGAAAAAAAAUCACAAAUAGUGCUUCCCUUUUAUUUCAGCUUGAGCUGUUUUCUCCUGGGAAAACAGCUUUUUGCUUGGCAAAAAUGGAUGUGAAGCAUUGGCGAAAACGAAAGGCCGUUUUCGUUGCAAAGAAAACUGCCUCUUGCUUUUGCCAAAAAAAGCAAAACAUAUGAGACAAACCCACAAAUAUUUCCCUGUUUGCAAACUCUGUAAAAAAAACGUGAUUUUUUUUUCCACCAGCGGUGAGAAUAUUUUCCCCGCACGACUCUUCUCAUUUCUAAAAAUUAUGGUCCCAGCGGUAGAAGUCACAAGUGACACCUGUGCCACCUCAUUAAUAGGAUUCAAUAUCCUGGGUAUUACUUUUAAACACGUUGAAUAUUCGUCCCAUCAUAGGUGACACUGGAAGAGAUACAGCCUUCACUUGGUGAGAAGCUUGUCUCAACAAAGUGAAGAGUCACUGACACAUGCCGGACCGCUGACCCUGGAAAACAAUGUUCAGAGGGAGGGGAGGUGGGUAUUCGCUGGGCUUGAAGGCAGAGGAGCAGCUGAAUGAAUGAAGACUUGUGACAGACUUGUCACUGGGAGAAGAAAUCACACCAGGUGGUGGAGAGGAUGCGGCAGAGAACACGUUCCAGAUACCAGGUUCGUCAUCCAGUGUGGGUGCCGCUUCCCAGGGCCCUGUGAAAAGGACAGCACUGAAUGAAAUGGCCGUUGGAAUGCCUCUCAGACCUCCGUGUGCAAGGACCAGACUGGAGGUACAUUGGCAAAGUAUAGAAAAUUUGACUAUCCCGAGAUCUUGGCUCAUUGACUCCCUCAUUUCACAAAUACUCUGCUUAAAUGGGGUCUUUGGUGAUGGAUGAAGGUGUUGGAACAACAAAUCAGAUUGGGAGUGUCGCUGUGUGCGACAUUUCUUGACACCCCCGUGCUCAUCACCAUGCCAACUCUUCACCCUGUCAUGAAGCUGGGUUCUUUUUCUUGGUGAAGUAGAGACAUUUGUUUGCCACCUUUACAUUGCUAUAAUACCUAAAACAUCAAUACAGACGAGAGGCAUUCAAAGCAAUAAACUGGUUCAGGGAAGUAGAGUGCAAAUACAUUUAUAAUGUGUAAAGUCAUAUUUUUAAGGAUUCUGGUUUUAAGGCAAUUCUAUGAUGAAUGUUUUAUCACGUAAGAAAACACUUCAUCGAGUAAAGAUAUCUCCCAGCAAAUUUAUUUAUUAUAAAAAUCUACUUUUGUGGAAGUAAUUCUUUGCUGUUCUCAGCCUUGCUACUUCACAUUUAGGCCUGUUGUUUCGUAUUUUCCUUCAAAGCUGUGGGAGCGGGAGUGGGAGUGGGUGUGGAUGGGGUUGUGUUGGCACACAAGUGGACAUGUAUGCACAUGCCUGUGGAGACCAGGGCACAGCCUUGGAUGUGGGUGUCAUUUCAGGAGCUUUCCGCCAUGUUGAUUAUUAACCAGUUAGUUAGUUAGUUAGUUAAUGUUUUAAAAAGAAUCUCCUUCCUAGCCUAGGAUUUACCAAUUAGGUUAGGCUGGCUGGCUAGGAAGCCCCCAAAAGUCACCUGUCUUCACCUCCCCACAGACAUGGGAUUACAUGCCCAUGUCACUGGACUGGUUUGUUUGUUUGUUUUUGUUUUUAAACAGAGAUUCAAAUCAGGCAUUCAUGCUUGCAAGGCUAACACUCCAUCAACCGUGUCCUGCCCUCAGAGCCUCAGAACUGCUUCCAAUCAAUGCAAUCAUGACUCAGAUCCAACACUAGCAGUAUCUAUGCUUUAUCUGUUUAUCAGUUACUUAAUGAUUAGAGACAAAGUGCCAGUCACCUUAUUUUAUCCUCUCAGAGCUAUUAAUGAUAUGCACUUAAAAUUCUUAUGCUGUCCCCUUAUCUCCCCCUCCCUCUUUGGGGUGCUGGCCCCCUCGCCUGACUGGCAAGUGCAGUACUGCUGAGCCACACCUUCAGCUGCCCUCCUGGGACGUCUGCUUUCUCUGGACAGUUGCCUUCUUGUCUUGCAUUGGCUCCCAAGUUCUGCCCUGGAAGGAGGAAGGAAGGAAGACUGGCUUGUGCUUUCCAGGCCGGGUCAGGUUUGGGAACAAGUCUAGCUUAGAGGUGAACCUCUUGUUGCAUUCUUGCUCACCUGUCUUUCUUCUUCCUCUUUUGGACAUUCUCUGUCCUCCAGGGCAUCUUCCAGGAUUUCUAUCCCCGGAAGACUCAGACGGGGACAGAGGAGGAAGCCACUCGGACUCCUGCCAGCCUUUCACCUUCCUCUUGCUGCACUCUGUACUCCAGCCUGUGCUGGUGCUGGCCCUGAGUUACCUCUUGACCCCUAGCACGCCAAAGCAAGAACAGAUGGAAGGAAAGAGCCAAGAGGCUCUGGCUGUUUACAUCUGCCAUGUUAGCCUCCUUCCCAACCACGCGCGCCAUGUUAGCUUCUGAGCUAGGCUCUGAGGUUCUCCAGCUUCAACCUCACACCCCUCUGCGGUUUCUUUAUCCAAGGGAAUGAACAUCCCAUGCUUGUUUCCUUUUUAAAAAUUUUUAGAUGAAUUUUUGGUUGUGAGCCUAGCCCUUGAAUGACCGAGCCACCUCUCUAACCCUAAAUAAAAUAUUUAAGUUGACAUAUUAAGUAACGGUUUCAUUGUACAUUUUCAGAUGUCUGCAGCAUUAUCAUUGCCCAUUCUUCCCUCAAUCAGUGCCAUUUGCUUUAGAGAAAGCAAAAUCAAUGGGAAGGGGUUUGGGGGUGUGGCUCAGCUACCUUCAGGAUGCCCUAUGUUUAAUCCAUAGCACCAAAAAGAAAAUAGGAGACAAGGGAAACAGAAUAAGUAAAUGCAAGUAAUUAAUAGGCUCCCCCCCAAAAAGACAGAAAUGUCUAUAACAAAGCUAUUAGAAAUCUUAGACAUUUAAUACACAAAACAAAGUCUUCAAGAAAACCUUUACUGGACAUAAUUGAUAUAAUGAUUAGAACUGAUACAGAUAAAGAUAGAUGCAGUGAACUGGAAAAUCAAGCUGGGCACAUUCAAAGAAAGCAUCAAGAAAGAAAAGGAUAAGAGAAAGGUUAAAUGGCAUUGAAGCAAAAUGAGCACUGUCAGUGCAUGACGGGAAUUCCCAGACAAGAGACAAAACCAAACAGGGAGAAAAUUAGUUAAAGAAAUUGGCAUUAUUUGUUUCUGGAAACACCCUUUCCCUUCAAAGAGACUGAUCUUUUUUGAGACUUUGCAACCAAGUCAGUAAUAUGCCUUGAGUUCAUUUUAGACUAUGUUCUUAACCUGCUGUCCUACUGUGUGCUCAGCCUGGUUGAGUUUAACCUGCCUGUAAAAGAACAAUGUAAACAGUUUUACUAUGCCUUGCACUUCCCCUCUAAUCAGCUUUGACAAGCUAUGUGCGUGCAUAGCUUUAAAGUUAAGAUAGAUGCUCUUCCAUGUCCCUACCCAGGAGGGAAAGAGAGAGACAGAGAGACAGAGGGAGGAGAAAGUGUGUGUGUGUGUGUGUGUGUGUGUGUGUGUGUGUGUGUGUUGCGGUCAUCAUUUGUUCCAAGCAGCUGUCAGGUUGAAAGCAACCUUGAACAACAAAUACCCCGCAGAUGUUGGAAGCAACAUGCAGAUCUAGGGUGGAAACGUGUUUGCAGUUCUGGUGCUGCUCUGGGUCAGUUGGGGUCAGUAAAGUCACUUCUUCCCUUGGGAGACUA